UUUCCUCACACCACGUGGCGUGGACGCGCUCUGGACCGAGAUGGAACUACACCCCUCUUCCUAUCCCUGGGCUACGUCUCACCGUUUGUUUGUUUGUUUCAAGUCUCGUGAUCUUCAAAUGAUUAAAUGAGAUGAGGGGUGUGGAAGUGUUGGGCAAACUGUAAGAAGCUGUCUCUGCGGGGAUGAAGUCUCCUCCACCUUUCCCAGCUGCUUGGCUCCUGGCUGUUUGCCCUCAGCCUUUAAACAAGCUCAAGUUCCUCAAGUCCUAAAAACAAAACUAUCGAGCUAACCCUGCGCUCGAAGUGCCCACUCCAGCUAGCUUCCAAGUGCUUCUCUCCCUCUCAUGGAGACCACUUCAACAGUGGUCCCCGUCAGCUGUCUCCACUUCCUCAUUUCUCAACACUUGGCACUCUGGCUCGUCCUCCCCAAACACACAACCUUCCAUUACCCUGCUCAGGCGACAGUAACCCAUGACCUUCAUUUUCCCAAAUCUGUAGGCAUUCCUCAGUUCUUAGCUCUCUGGCUCUCUCUGCUACAUUUGACACCUCACAUGACUGUCUCCCACCUUCUGGCAUCUCAGUACUGCCUUGGCUUCCAAAAGAGUGCAGUCUCCCGAUUCUCCCCUCUCAGUAAAUAAAGCUGCUGCCUCUCUUGGUGGCAUCCUUAAGUGCCACCAAUUGUGAGUCUGCACCUUAAAUGCGAGACUCCACUCUAAGCCCACAGCUCUUCUCCCCGCACUCUUGGGACAUCACCUCCACCCAUCAUCAUCACCAUGGUUUCAACUGCCAAAUCAGACAUUUCCAGCCUAUACCUCUUCCACAAAAGUUAGACCCAAAUAUCCAACUGCUUGCCAGGCAGCUCUGUCUAGAUAUCUCAGGGGCACCCCAAACUCAGCAUGACCAAAACAACUCAUCCUCUGCCUCCAUAGCAGCCUCUCCCUCCCCUGUUGACACCACCAUCUACAGGCAUCAGAAUCAGAAAGCUGGGAAUGAGUGAGUCAUUCUUGAUUCAGCCCUUUGCCUUAUGCCAUCACUCGUCCUAUUUAUUUCACCUCCUUAGAUCUCUACCUCAAAUCUCUGCCUCCAUUCCUCCUGGCGGGAGUUCCAGCCAUCCUUUCCAACCUGAACCGUUGCAGCAGCCUCCUAAAGUCUCCUGCAGACAAACUCAGCCUCCAUUCAGCCUCCAAAGCGAACUCUCUAAAAUGCGCUUCUCUUUAAAAUCGUGCAGAGGUUCCCCUGGCUUCUGGCCGCAGUGCGGACCUACAAGGUAUCCAAUACAAACCUCGCAGUGCCCUCAAGCUUUUAAAAGACCACAAAGAGCCCCAGACUUCAAGAAGCAGCCAAAAUCCUCAAAGUAAGGCAACACACAGCCAGGCAAGGGAACACUAUAGGAAGAAAAACAGUGAUUGAAAUAUUUCUAAAAAUUCCCUGCUACAGAUGUUUUGGGUAUGGAAAGAAGAGAAUGUGGACACUGGGGGGAGGAGAUGCUGAGUCACUGGGAAAGGCUUGAGCAUGUUUAUAGGCUGAGGAAAAAACAGAGCCAGGAAAGGAGGAGAAGCCCAAGACAGAGAGAAAGACAGUGAAGCGAGUCUUGAGAAGUCCUGGGAGGCUUGCUGAUCUCCGCCCAGGAUGAUUCUGGGCCUGGGCCCAGCCCUUCCCUCCUUUGAUCCUACUCCCUUUUUAAGACCCAAGCCAUGAUCACAACCCAAGACAGGUAACAGUCCUCCUAGUAAACUCUAAUUUACCUUCCACGGACUAUUUCACAUCUCCUCCAUCCUCAAAAGCCCCAUCCUUGCUUGCCUUCCCCUCUCCAGGUCACCUUACCUCCUGUUUCACUGAGAAAAUGCAGACCAUCAAGAGGGAACACCCACGGAUCUACACAUUAACCCACAUCAGCAUCCGCUGUCUCUCCCUCACUCCAGUUUCUGCGAAGGGGCAAUGCCCCCUCCCAAGAGACCUAACCCUUCACAGAUGAGAAACUGAGGAAACUUUACAUGUAUGAGUUCAUUUAAUCUUUCAAACAAUCCUAAGAAGUAAGUACUAUUAUCAUCUCUAUGUUUACAGAUGAAACUGAGGAAAACGUAAAGUCCCAUUUUACAGAAUAGAAAAAGAUGUUUAAUAGCUCACUCAAGGUCGCAGAGCUGGUAAACAGCAGCACAGCCAGGAUUCAACCCAGGCAACUUGGCUCCAGGGCCAAACUCUUCAUCAGUAUGACUGAACAAAGCCAUAGUGACCCAUCCUCUGGGAUCCAAAGUCUUUGGAUUAUCUGUUUAAACACCCAGACUCUGACUGCCUCAUGAGCAAGGACCUAACUAAGCCAUCUCUGGAUCCUCAGCUCCUGGCCGAGACCCAGCCCAUGAUGGUACUCAGUAAUGUGUGCCGAGUAAGUGAGUAACAAAUUAUCAUCAAUUUUCACAACCACUAAGUCAGACUAGCAAUGGAAUGGUUAGGAUUCCCAUCUUACAGGAACGAAAAAUGAGUUCCACAACUUCCCAAGAGGAGGUGAUUCGUCUCACUGCCCCUUUGACUGACUUCAGCCCUCUUUUAUGUUUUCUCUGCUGCUUCCAUGAAAGGUUAGAGGACACGUGUUUACUUUAGGAAGACUUCACCUUAAGAGAGGCUAAAAAAAAUGCCACAGUACUCCCUGUCUUUUCUGGAAAAAGUGGCCAGUGAAAGUAUUUUGAUUAUAAUGUUUGCUUAACGAGCUCUGUUUCCUUUAGCUCCUAUGCCAUUCUGUCCCUGUUUAGCUUGAACCACAGAGGCCUGUGUGUGUGUGUGUGUGUGUGUGUGUGUGUGUGUAUUUUGGAACAGAACAGGGAGCAGAGCUGUGAGUCAGAUGUCUAGAAAUCAGAGUCCAGCGGCCACCACUGAUUCAUUUCUGUUGCUGAGCAAAAUAUGUAAUCUUUUUUUUGCCUCUGCCACGAAACAACAGCCAGGGGCCCCACAUUCUUCUCAGGCCAUGGUGCCGUAGGAUAUGUUGGGUCACACGCUGCUGAGUGUUCAGGGCGUAGGGCCCCUGCUGGAGGAGUGCUAGAAAUCGGUCCUACAAAAGGAGGGAACUCCUGAUUUGUAGCACCUGCCAAUUUCGUGAUGUAAAUACCCCACCACGGCUAAUUUCAAGCUACCAACAGUUUAGGUGGCUCACAAAAUUCUUAGCAGAAACGAAAUAACUUAGCAGUCUGCUUUAAGGAGCCAACAGAAACCAGCUCCAGCACACUGCCACUUAUAGUAACUCCUCAUGUGGACAAGAACAGGAGAAAUACAAGCAGCCUUUAGAUGAUGGUUUUAGGGGCAAGGCCUGCCUCAUAGGAUGUUACAGGGAAUUUCCUUGUAUUUACAUAUAAUGAUUUCACCUCUGAUGAGAAAAGACUAAUUGUAUUGGAGAUGGGAAAACUAGGUAUAAUUCUUAGCAUUCUUAGAAGUAACAUGUUUAUUUCUUUGAAUUUCAAUUUUAAUAGGAAGACUAUUACCGACCUCACAGGAUGGCGGAUUAUCUAAUAAACACAUACAGCACUUACUGUCUGCUAGGAACUGUUUAAAUACUUUACAAAUUUACAUACUUAACCUUUAUAACAAGACUGUAGAGUAAGUACUGUUAUCAGUUUAGAGAUGAAAAGACCAAAGCACAGAGAAGUUAACUAAGUUCUCUAAGGCCACACAGCUAGCAAGUAAUAGAGCCAGGAUUUGAACCUGGCUCCAGAGUCCAUGCAUGCUUUUAACCUCUAGGGCCCCAAGUCAAAGGCACCUGCCUGGUUUAAUAAAUAGAGUUUUAUUGGAACACAGCCAUGCUCGUUCAUUUACAUGUUGUCUGUGGCUGCUUUUGUGUUAGAGUGGCAGAGUUGAGUAGUUGUGGCAGAGACCAUAUGACCCAAAAAGCCCAAAAUAUUUACUAUCUGGUUGUUUACAGAAAACAUUGGCUGCUCCCUACUCUAUGGUGUCCUGCCUAUUUGUAUAGGCUGACACAAUAGUUAUUAUUAGGAGCCUGGUGGUCCCAAAGGUCAAGCUGGUUCUGAAAUUGUGUUCUAGGCCAAUAAGACAAGUGAAAAGUAAUGUCAAGAUUAUAACCGUACCCUAGCAUUUGUACUAUAACAAUUGUGUCAGUGAAAUAGCAUUAGGAUGUAAACUUGAGUAACAAAUAAUCCAUGAAAAUGAGUAUUAAUAGAAAUAUGUGCUUUAUGGGAUCCUGAUAUCUCAGGGUUGAAUUAAUUCAGAGAUUGUUCAUCCCAACCCCAACUCUCCACUGGGGGUUGUUAGACUGGAUUUCUGAAGUUGAUGCUGUAAAUCGCUCACCAUCGGCCCUCAGGUCCUGCAGGAUGAAUCUCCUAUACAGACAUGGGCUUUUUGCUCUUUUAUGGGGCUCAGGCAGCAGGCCCCCACCUCCAUGCCUGUCAUUCUGUCUCCGAGGCAGUUCCUCCAUGUGGCUGUUUCAGAUGCCAAGCAGAGAAGCUCCUCGAAGCCUGUUACCCACUGUCCUCCUGGAUCGUCAUUAAAAACUUCCCCUGACCUUUGCAGCUACUUCCUGUGAGCCUCUUAGGGACUGCUUGUGACCUAUUUUCAGAGCUGACGGUUCUGGCUUCUAGAGCAAAUGAGGAACAAGCCCAGCUACAGGUGGUCGACUGUUUCCUUUGGGCUCCUGGCACCAAGGAAGAAUUGCUCACUGAAAGGAUCGUAGGUCAGAAGGAUGCCUGGUUGCCGCAUCAGGGCCGUAGAUUUUCAUAUAAACCGUGGGUCAGUAUUCAGGAUCGUCCGAAAGCUGUUACCUUCUGUUUGCUGAAGACAGUUUCUUCCUUAUAGUAAUAAAGAAAAAGAGCCCAUUGAA